rnacentral:rRNA from 1 species
CCUACGGGUGGCAGCAGUAGGGAAUCUUUCACAAUGGGCGAAAGCCUGAUGGAGCAACGCCGCGUGCAGGAUGAAGGCCUUCGGGUUGUAAACUGCUUUUAUAAGCGAGAAAUAUGAUGGGAACUUAUGAAUAAGGAUCGGCUAACAACGUGCCAGCAGCCGCGGUCAUACGUAGGAUCAGAGCAUUAUCCGGAGUGACUGGGUGUAAAGAGUUGCGUAGUUGGCAUAAUAAAUAGCUAGUGAAAUCUGGUGGCUCCACCAUUCAGACUAUUAGCUAAACUGUUAAGCUCGAGACCGGUAGGGGUAACUGGAAUUUCCAGGGUAGGGGUGAAAUGCGUAGAUAUUAGAAGGAAAACCCAGAGCGUAGGCAGGUUACUGGGACGGUUCUGACACUAAGGCACGAAAGCGUAGGGAGCAAACGAGAUUAGAUAACCCUGGUAGUC